rnacentral:rRNA from 1 species
GACGAACGCUGGCGGCGUGCUUAACACAUGCAAGUCGAACGGAAAGGCCCUGCUUUUGUGGGGUGCUCGAGUGGCGAACGGGUGAGUAACACGUGAGUAACCUGCCCUUGACUUUGGGAUAACUUCAGGAAACUGGGGCUAAUACCUGAGAGGAGCUCCUGCUGCAUGGUGGGGGUUGGAAAGUUUCGGCGGUUGGGGAUGGACUCGCGGCUUAUCAGCUUGUUGGUGGGGGAGUGGCUUACCAAGGCUUUGACGGGUAGCCGGCCUGAGAGGGUGACCGGCCACAUUGGGACUGAGAUACGGACCAGACCCCUACGGGAGGCAGCAGUGGAGAAUAUUGCACAAUGGGCGGAAGCCUGAUGCGGCAACGCCGCGAGCGGGAUGACGGCCUUCGGGUUGUAAACCGCUUUCGCCUGUGACGAAGCGUGAGUGACGGUAAUGGGUAAAGAAGCACCGGCUAACUACGUG